AUGGCGACGCGCGCGCAGAAGGGGAUCAUCCAGCCCAACUCUCGCUUGCGGGACUACCUGCUAGCGAUGGAGGAAGGCGAGCUACAUCUGGGCACAGACGAGGAACCUGCAACUUUCGCAGAAGCCGAGCCGCACGAAAGCUGGAGAAGAGCAAUGCUUGACGAGAUGCAGUCGAUCGAGGAAAAUGAGACGUGGUAUCUCACCGAUCUACCUGCAGGCCGGCGACCCAUUGGACUCAAGUGGGUUUUUAAGCUCAAGAAAGACUCUGACGGCGCUAUCAUCAAACACAAGGCCAGGCUGGUGGCGAAGGGUUUUGCACAGAAAGCCGGCGUCGACUUCGAGGAGGUGUUUGCACCCGUUGCGCGGCUAGACUCCGUCAGGUUGCUGCUGUCGAUCGCCGCACAUGAGCUCUGGGAGGUGCAUCAUCUCGAUGUCAAGACGGCGUUUUUGAAUGGGGAUCCGAACGAAGAGGUGUAUGUCAGCCAGCCUCCAGGUUUUCCUCUCACCGGAAGUGAACACAAGGUACUUCGUCUCCGAAGAGCUCUCUACGGUCUACAUCAAGCUCCGUGUGCGUGGAACGCCAAGCUGGACAGCACCUUGCUGUCGCUUGGGUUUGCACGGACCGUGUCAGAGCACGCAGUGUACCACCGUGGCGCUGCUGAAGAUCGCCUACUACUGGGCGUCUACGUCGACGAUCUCAUCAUCACGGGAGCCAGCCCCAGCGCCAUUGCAAAGUUCAAGACGGAGAUGACAAGCCAGUUCCAGAUGAGUGAUCUUGGACUUCUCACAUACUAUCUCGGUCUUGAAGUGCACCAGAGCAAUAAGGAGAUCACGGUGUGCCAGGCCGCGUACGCCACCAAGCUACUGGAGCGCGCCGGGAUGUCGGACUGCAACCCAGUUCAUGUCCCUAUGGAGCCUCGUCUUCGUCUGAGCAAGAUGAGCUCGUCACCGCCGACCGACGCCCACCUUUACCGCAGCAUAGUGGGAAGUCUCCGCUACCUGGUGCAUACACGGCCAGACAUUGCUUUUGCAGUAGGCUAUGUCAGCCGUUUCCUCGAGGAGCCGACGACAGAGCACAUGAGUGCUGUCAAACAUCUCCUGCGCUACAUAGCGGGCACCAUUCACCAUGGGUGUCACUACACAAGAAGGGGAGGUGUGAUCUCGUCGGGUACAGCGACGCGGAUCUGGCGGGAGACGUUGAUGAUCGAAAGAGCAUAA
rnacentral:rRNA from 1 species